rnacentral:rRNA from 1 species
AGAAUCAACGCUGGCGGCGUGCCUAACACAUGCAAGUCGCACGAGAAAGGGGACUUCGGUCCCUGAGUACAGUGGCGCACGGGUGAGUAACACGUGAAUCAUCUACCUUCGAGUGGGGAAUAAACUGAGAGAAAUCUUAGCUAAUACCGCAUAAUACCUACGGGUCAAAGCAGCAAUGCGCUUGGAGAGGAGUUCGCGGCCGAUUAGUUAGUUGGCGGGGUAAUGGCCCACCAAGACGAUGAUCGGUA